rnacentral:lncRNA from 1 species
CGGCAGGGCUCCCGCGUACGUGUGGCCGUUCGUCAGCCCCCGUCCUCGGCCUGAGGGGCGGUGACCGGUCAGGGGCCCGGCCGCGCUCCCUCCCCUCAGGGAGAGCUGAGGAGGACGCCGCCGGGAAAGGUAAUGCCCUGCCCCGGGCUGCCUUCGCUCCCAGCCGCCUUGUGCUGAGGAGGGGAAAGCAGACAGAUGCUUGUGAGUGCCCCAUGGCUGCAGCUGCUUCAGUUCACUCAUUUAUUGCCUAUUGUAACUUGGAAGCGUUCUUUAGGUCAGUUCAUCUUCUGGGACCCAUCUCUGCCUUCUGGUUAAGGAAUCCAUGCACACAUACAGGAUGACUCAACAGUGGGAUGGAUGUUCAGAUACCAAAAAGGUGCUGGUAACUUGACAGGAACUUCCACAUUCUUUGGAGGUAUGUGUGCAUGUAAAGCUCUUGUUGAAUACUGCCUGGAUUAUAUCACAUGGAACUGUAAUGUAGUUAACUUCAGUUGUGUUUUAAAAUAUGUAUCUUGCACAGUUUAAUUAUUCAGAACAAAAUAAACAUUCCCAUUUUUGUAGUUAAUAUUAGGAC